UGGGGGAUAUUGCACAAUGGGGGGAAACCCUGAUGCAGCAACGCCGCGUGAGGGAAGAAGGUUUUCGGAUUGUAAACCUCUGUCUUUGAGGAUGAUAAUGACAGUACUCAAAGAGGAAGCUCCGGCUAACUACGUGCCAGCAGCCGCGGUAAUACGUAGGGAGCGAGCGUUGUCCGGAAUUACUGGGGUGUAAAGGGAGCGUAGGCGGAUUUGCAAGUUGAAUGUGAAAUUUAUGGGCUUAACCCAUAAACUGCGUUCAAAACUGUGAAUCUUGAGUGAAGUAGAGGCAAAUGGAAUUCCUAGUGUAGCGGUGGAAUGCAUAGAUAUUAGGAGGAACACCAGUGGCGAAAGCGAUUUGCUGGGCU
rnacentral:rRNA from 1 species